UUCAUUCAUUCAUUCAUUCAUCCAUACAUUC
rnacentral:piRNA from 1 species